rnacentral:tRNA from 1 species
GGGAAUAUAGUUCAGUGGUAGAAAACUUGCUUGGCAUGCAUGAGAUCCUGGAUUUGAUCUCCAGCACCACUA